ACACGACUACAUUAGAUACCCGCGUAGUCCCAGCCGUAAACGAUACUCGCUAGGUGUCGGCCACGGUGCGACCGUUGUCGGUGCCGUAGGGAAGCCGUGAAGCGAGCCACCUGGGAAGUACGGCCGCAAGGCUGAAACUUAAAGGAAUUGGCGGGGGAGCACAACAACGGGUGGAGCUUGCGGUUUAAUUGGAUUCAACGCCGGAAAUCUUACCGGGACCGACAGCAACAUGAAGGCCAAGCUGAAGACUUUGCCGGAUUAGCUG
rnacentral:rRNA from 1 species